CAUCUAAUUGACAUGCAAUAGGAUGGACGUCCACUCGAACUAUUGGAAUCCUCUCCCCCCACCACCCUAUUUUUCUGGAUCGUACACCAUCCACUUCCACGUUGAUUUCCCGGAUCGAACAAGAGGGAGAGGGCACAGGCGGCGACGGUUGGCGGCGUGCGACUGUUGACUCGGGCUUCCUCCGGCGGCCGGCGACGGCGACGGCUUGUGGCAGCGGCGGGCGGGCGGCUGCAGCAUGCGACGGUCUUGGCGAGGCCGUACCCCAGGGCAUCCUCGUCCUGGCCUCGCCGCCCUCGACCUCGAUUCGCCCUGGAUCUCGAUGCCGAGUUUGGAUCUGGAGAUGCGGGGUCGCAUCCUCCCGCUGUCGCUAGCCGAUUCGCCUUCUUGCCAGACCAUCACCACUCUUCUCGUGACUGCGAGAGGAAACUACGUAAGAACAUGAGAAGAUUAUGCCAGUGGUGGUGGUGCCACUGGAAUGGCAUCCUGGUCAUUAUCCUCGACAUGUCUGCCGUCAACGCACGUCGCCAGCGGCCAAACACAAAGAGCAGGGGUGACGCAGAGAUGUCGACCCAGGACGAGCACACCACAAUUGAUGACCGGCUUCGGUGGCAGGCGAUGCCAAAAAUCUUCACGACUGAUGCCCUCUGGACUGAUAAUUUUUGACAACGAGUGUAUAUGUGUGUUUGUAACGAUGAUGGCACGAUCAAUUGAAGAAAAAAACCAUUAUACGUGUAUUCUCGUGUAGUAAAAUAUUUACUGCCUUAAGCACAAAGCAAUUUAUUUACUGAGAAAAGACGAAACUAAUAUUUCUUGCCA